AAACUCACCUGGCAGGGGAGAUACCAUGAUCAUGAAGGUGGUUUUCCCAGGGCGAGGCUCACCCAUUGCACUCUGGGUGUGCUGACCCCUGCAAUUUCCCCAAAUGUGGGAAAUUCAACUGCAUAAUUUGUGGUAGUGGGAGGUUGCAUUCAUGCUAUCCCCUG
rnacentral:snRNA from 1 species